rnacentral:ncRNA from 1 species
UCAAGGGGUGCUUGAUAUUUCAGGCUGAGAUGAUACCCUCUAACCUGAUCUGGAUAAUGCCAGCGUAGGGAUGGAUAGUA